rnacentral:misc_RNA from 1 species
AACGCACGAGACCUGCGGACCUGCGGAGGGAUCAUUAAAGAGAACGUGCCCACUGGGUACAUCUCCCACCCUGUGUUUACAAUACCUCUGUUGCUUUGGUGGGACAGUCGUCAGACGGCUGGCUGCUUGGCUGGCUUGCACCCGCCAGAGGACUUAAAACAACUCUUUGUCGUGCGUCUGAGAAACUAUUCAAAUUAACAAAACUUUCAACAAUGGAUCUCUAGAUCGGAAGAGCACACG